AGAGUUUGAUCAUGGCUCAGAUUGAACGCUGGCGGCAUGCCUUACACAUGCAAGUCGUACGCGAAAGGGGGCAACCCCGAGUAGAGUGGCGAACGGGUGAGCAAUACAUCGGAACGUGUCCUGUAGCGGGGGACAACCUCGAGAAAUCGAGGCUAAUACCGCAUACGAUCUACGGAUGAAAGUGGGGGACCGCAAGGCCCCACACUAUAGGAGCGGCCGAUGCCGGAUUAGCUAGUUGGUGGGGUAACGGCCUACCAAGGCGACGAUCCGUAGCUGGUUUGAGAGAACGACCAGCCACACUGGGACUGAGACACGGCCCAGACUCCUACGGGAGGCAGCAGUGGGGAAUUUUGGACAAUGGGCGAAAGCCUGAUCCAGCCAUGCCGCGUGAGUGAAGAAGGCCUUCGGGUUGUAAAGCUCUUUCGGCGGGGACGAAAUAGCGCGGGGUAAUAUCCCGCGUCGAUGACGGUACCCGAAGAAGAAGGACCGGCUAACUACGUGCCAGCAGCCGCGGUAAUACGUAGGGUCCAAGCGUUAAUCGGAAUUACUGGGCGUAAAGCGUGCGUAGGCGGUCUCGCAAGUCCGAUGUGAAAUCCCCGAGCUUAACUUGGGAACUGCGUUGGAAACUAUGAGGCUAGAGUGCGGCAGAGGGGGGUGGAAUUCCAGGUGUAGCAGUGAAAUGCGUAGAGAUCUGGAGGAACACCGAUGGCGAAGGCAGCCCCCUGGGCCAGCACUGACGCUGAUACACGAAAGCGUGGGGAGCAAACAGGAUUAGAUACCCUAGUAGUCC
rnacentral:rRNA from 1 species